UCCCUGGUUGUCCAGUGGCUAAGACUCUGUGCUCCCAAUGCAUACGGCCAGGUUCGAUCCCUGGUCAGGAAA
rnacentral:tRNA from 1 species